rnacentral:rRNA from 1 species
UACGUAGGGGGCGAGCGUUGUCCGGAGUUACUGGGCGUAAAGGGCAUGCAGGCGGUCCGACACGUUUUGUGUGACAGCGGGUGGCUUAACUACCCGAGGAUACGAAAGACGGUUGGACUUGAGGACUCGAGAGGGACACGGAAUUCCGGGUGGAGUGGUGAAAUGCGUAGAGAUCCGGAGGAACACCGAAGGCGAAGGCAGUGUCCUGACGAGUGACUGACGCUGAGGUGCGAAAGCCAGGGGAGCGAACGGG